rnacentral:tRNA from 1 species
AAGAAUAUAACUCAAUUGGAUAGAGUACAUACAUUAUAAAUAUGAAGUUAUAGGUUCAAAUCCUAUUAUUCGAA